GUGAUUCUCCUGCCUCAGCCUACCAAGUAGCUGGGACUACAGGUGCCCACCACCACGCCCGGCUAAUUUUUUGUAUUUUUAGUAGAGAUGGGGUUUCACCGUAUUAGCCAGGAUGGUCUCGAUCUCCUGACCUCGUGAUCUGUCUGCCUUGGCCUCCAAAAGUGCUGGGACCGUGCCCAGCCAUCAUUAUUAUUUUUUAAAAAGAAAACUCCCCCUACCCCCAGUAUACCAUUUUGUAUCUCAAAAUUUUACUUUAUUGAUUUUUAAGAGUAAUUUCUACUUUUAUCUUUUAAAUAAAACAUUUUAGAGUAUUUUUGAAGACUUAAAAAGCUUAAAAUUUAGUGUUUUUGGAAAUGUAUAAAAUUUUCUUGAAGUAUGUAUAGUUUUCCAAAUUACUUUACUGACCUGUUAACUCACUGUACUUGUUUUUUACUUAUUUUUUCCUGACCUCUUAACAAGGUGAGUCCAUUUAAUCAUCUGUGGUAUAAAAUGCUUCUCUAGUCACCUGUUCUCAUUAAACAGUUGUAAGUAAGUUUUAAAAGCCAUUAUUUUAAUUACUAAAAGUUCUCAAGUGUGUAGUAUUAUCUGAGUAUUUUAAUUGAAAAAUUAAUCAGGCUUUUAAAAAUUACUUUUUUAUUGUAUUAGUUGGCUUUUAAAUUCAGAUUCUUUAUAUUUGCUUGAUUUUUCCUGGAAGUUCCAAGUUUUAUGAAUUUGUAGCUGAUAGUAGGUUUUACUUGUGUACCCCAUCUGCACUUUGAUGUUGUGUAGAUCGUUUUGUGAGUUAUUUGAACCGUGUAACUCAGAGAAUAGUAUUUCCUCAUACAUAAAGUGACCUCACUUUUAAUCAGCUCCUUUAUAGUAUGUUGAAAAUCACUGCGUGUAAUGAGAGGUAUUGAGAGUUUCUUGCACACAUGAGUGUAAAAGGUUGAGAACUAGAUUAUACAAAGUAGUAAGUCACAGUGCAUGGCAACUUUCUACAGGUUGGAUUAUAAGACUUAUGUGGAAUAGGAGAAUUAUAUUGGGAAAAAAUUAUUUUCUCUAACUUGAAGACUCCAGAGACACUUUUCUUAGUCAUGACCAGUAAUAUUUUUCAUAUAUUUUGGAAGAAAUAAGCUCCUCACUAUACCACCAGUUAGUGAUUUAUUUAUUUAUGUAUUUUAGAGACAGGGCCUCCUUCUGUCACCCAGUUUGGAGUGCAGUGGUGUAAUCAUAGCUUACUGCAGCAUCAAACUCCUGGGCUCAAGUGUUCCUCCUGCCUCAGCCUCCCAAGUAGCUAGAACCUCAGCCCCAUGCCACCACACUCAGCUAAUUUUAAAUUUUACUAAUUUCAUUUAAUUUUUGUGGAGAUGGGGGUCUUGCUGUGUUGUUUAGGCUGGUCCUGAACUCCUGGCCUCAAGCGAUCCUUCUGCCUUGGCCUCUCAGUAAAUUAUAUAGAAGAGCACUUCUGUAUAAUUUACUCAGUUUCUUCAUCACAUAUUUCCAACUGUUGCCCUAAAUAGGUUUAAAAAUGUGAUCAUGUUAUUAGAAAAUCCUUUCCAUUGAAUUUCAGGGAUGCUGAAUUUCAGGGAGCUAAAUUGUUGACCCUUGCCUGUAGUUGUUAUUGGUUCAGAAGUAAAUUUUAUUGAUGCUACAAGUAAAAAAUUAGAUCUGACUUAGUAAACUCAAAAGUUUUACAAAACUGUAUUUUACUAUGUAGAUGUAUUUCUUUAAAAUAGGUAUGGAUGGAUAUUUUUAUGAAUAAAUAAUAUUGCAUUAUAGAUGGAAUGAAACUUUGCAUUUAAUUUGCCCCAUAAGUAGGCUUUUUGUAGAAUGAAUUACUCUCUUAAAUUGUCCAAUCUAAAUUUUUAUUAGCUACAUUAACUUAAAGCAUAUUCUCUCUCUUUUCUCUUCACACUUUCUUCCUCCUUCCCAGGGUCUUCCUCUCCCUCUUUCAUCACCUACAUUGUUCCCCUUCCCUUUUAUACUAUUCUUAUUGUAUGUACUAGCUGUUGUUAUUUAUACAAAUACUCAUACAUCCUUACAUAGCAUGUUUUUAAACAAAAGAUACUGUAGUGGUCUUAACAGUUUACAAUUUUAUAUUUAAAAAUUAUUCAGGAAAUCUGGAAAUCCCUGACUUUUUACACCGUGCUGAUCACUUGACUCCUGUCUUAGUCCAUUCUGGCUGCUCUCUCAGAAUACCAGAGACUGGAUAGCUUAUAAAAAACAGAAAUUUAUUUCUUCUAAGUCUGGAGGCUGGGAAAUACAAUAUCAAGGUGCCAGCAGAUUUGGUGUCUGGUGAGGGGCCCACUCACUGGUUCAUAGAUGGUGCAUUCUAGCUGUGUCUUCACCUAGUGGAAGGGUCGAGCUAGCUCUCUGAGACCCUUAUGACCUAAUCAUCCCCCAAAGGUUCCACUUCCUAAUACUAUACCUCGGGAAUUAAGGUUUCAACCUGUGAGUUUUGUGGGGACACAAAUAUUCAGACCAUAGCAACUCCUGUACUCUACUAAAAAGCAUAUUAGAGAAAUAAGUAAUUGUUUUUCAAUUUUUAAGAAUUAUUCACUUGAGCCAAGCGUGGUGGCUCACAUCUGUAAUUCCAGCACUUUGGGAGGCCGAGGUGGGUAGAUCACGAGGUCAGGAGUUCAAGACCAGCCUGGCCAAGAUGGUGAAACCUCAUCUGUACUAAAAAUACAAAAAUUAGCCAGGCGUAGUGGCAGGCACCUGUAAUCCCAGCUACUCAGGAGGCUGAGGCAGAGAAUUGCUUGAACCUGGGAGGCAGAGGUUGCAGUGAGCUGAGAUGUACCACUGCACUCUAGCCUGGGCGACAGAGUGAGACAGUGUCUCAAAUAAAUAAAUAAAUAAAUAAAAAUAAGAUUCACUUGAACUAACAACGUAAGAAUUAUUUUUAAAAGAAACUUUUUAAUGUAAGGUUUUUUAAAAAAAUUAUUCGAAUAAGAAAUUUUACUAUAUGUCUUACUGUUAUUGUUACUUAGAAGUAUAUUAAAGAAUUAAAACAUUUUUUAAAAGUGUACCUGCCUCAGGAUUAUUUUCAUUACAGAGUACUCCUUACUGAUUUUGCAUACA
rnacentral:lncRNA from 1 species